rnacentral:rRNA from 1 species
AUGGCGAUUCUGCGCGAUGCUUCGCCGUGGAGCCUGCUCGCCGGCGCGGCGGCCAUGGCGACUCUGUGGUGGGCGGUCCGGAUGCUUGAGUGGGUCUGGUGGGGCCCGAGGCGCGUCGAACGGGCCCUGAGGGCGCAGGGCCUCAGGGGCACCCAGUACCGGCUCCUGAGAGGCGACAUCAAGGAGGAGCAGCGGCUCAUGAGGGCGGCCCUCUCCAAGCCCGUGCCAAUGGACCGGCCACACCACAUAGUCCCGCGCGUCUCCCCUCUCCUCCACCGCGUCACGGAGGAGCACGGGAAGGUUUCAUUGACAUGGUUUGGGCCAUACCCAAGAAUCACAAUCAGUGAUCCUGAGCUGGUUCGACAAGUUCUGGCAAAUAAAUUUGGCCACUUCGAUAAAACGAAGCUAGCCCGCCUUGCAAAGGUAUUUAUUGGUGGACUCGCAGUACUUGACGGUGAAGAAUGGGCCAAACAUAGGAGGAUCAUGAAUCCAGCCUUUCAUGCAGAAAAGCUAAAGCGGAUGUUGCCAGCAUUCUCUGCAUCUUGCAGUGAACUAAUUGACAGAUGGGAGAAUUCAGUCACCGUUUCCGUUGGAGCAAUAGAGCUUGAUGUUUGGUCGGAGUUCCAAAAUUUAUCAGGGGAAGUCAUUUCAAGAGCUGCAUUCGGUGUCACCAACGAAGAAGGCAGGCGCAUUUUCCAACUUCAGGCCGAGCAAGCAGAGCGCCUUGUCCAAUCUUUCCGGACUAAUUACAUCCCGGGCUUCUCUCUGUUGCCGACAGAAAACAACAGGAGGAUGAAGGCUAUAAAUACAGAGGUCAAAGCGAUUCUAAGGGGGAUAAUAGAGAAGAGGCAGAAGUACAUGAAGAAUGGAGGAACUGACAAGGACGAUCUGCUCGGCCUGCUGCUAGAGUCAAACAUGGAUUACAGUGAUGCCGAUGGCAAAACAAACAAGGGGAUGACCGUGGAAGAUGUCAUUGAUGAAUGCAAGUUGUUCUACUUCGCGGGAAUGGAGACUACAGCCGUACUGCUCUCAUGGACGGUGGUGUUACUAAGCAUGCAUCCGGAGUGGCAGGAUCGUGCCAGGGAGGAGGUUCUGCAAGUAUUUGGGAAGAACAAACCAGAUUUAAAUGGUCUUAGCCGCCUAAAAGUUGUUAUGAUGGUGUUCAACGAGGUCCUGCGUCUGUACCCACCGGUGAUGCUCAUUAACCGCCGGACAUACAAGAAGAUAGAGCUCGGAGGCGUCACAUACCCGCCGAACGUGAUGCUCGCGCUGCAACUCAUGUUCAUCCACCGUGACCCUGCCAUCUGGGGGGAUGACGCCGGCGAGUUCAAUCCGGGGAGAUUUGCCGAGGGGGUCUCCAAGGCAAGCAGGGACCCGGGGGCCUUCUUCGCCUUCAGCUCAGGGCCGAGGAACUGCAUUGGUCAGAACUUCGCGCUGCUUGAGGCCAAGGUGGCCGUCAGCAUGAUCCUGCAGCGGUUCUCUUUUGAGCUGUCGCCGACGUACGUGCACGCACCCUAUGCCGUCCUUACACUGCACCCGCAGCACGGUGUUCCGGUCAGGCUGCACCGGCUCUGA